CAAGGCUGGUUUUCAUGACAUCAGCAUGGCUGAGCAAGAGAACUAGAGCCACUGAAGAUGGUGAAAAUGGAAAGGGAGCACACAUGGGUCCUCCCAUCUCUCCUGUCAUAUGAGAUCACAGGACUCUUUCCCUCCAGAGGAUGCAGUAACCAAGCGUCAUCCUAGAAGCACAGAACAUCUCUCCAAAGACUCCAGUCCUGCUGGUACCUUGAUCUUGGACUUCUCAUCCUGGACUUCUCAUCCUCUAGAACUGGGAGAAAUUAAUUUCUGUCUUUUACAAAUUUCCCAGUCUUGAGUAUUUUAUUAUAAAGAUAUGAUUGAAGAAUAACAGAAGUAUUUCUGUCAGAAGAGAACCAAGCCAUUCUCUGUUGGAGGAACAUUCUGAGCAAAGGGGUUAUUGUUAUGAGGGAUCAGAGAAGAAAGAAGUUCAUCUCUCCUUUAGGCAGCAGGAUUGAAGAAGAAUAUGAACCCAUCAGGCAAGGAUGUUUUUGUAUUUACUUUGCCAAGAGAGAUAUAGACUCUGGAAUCCAACAGGGGUCAGCUCAGAAAGGCUGCAUUGAGGCAGAAAUGAGAUAUCCCAAGGGCUGAAGCAGCUGAUUCUGAGAACAGUUUUCUCUCAUUCCCCUGGAGGCAGAAUGCACCGCCAGGCUGACAAGGCCAGCACACCACUGAGACAGACGGCACAAACCAUGAUUCUGAGUCCAGGGUGGUGAGGCUGGAGAAGAGGAAAAUGUGAACUGGGAAAAUUGGAUUAAUGAAUUCAACAGAUCAUGUAAAAAUACAUCCUUCCAGAAGAGAAAGUGGAUCUAAGGCCCCAGAGAAUAUCCCCAUCUCAGAGAUUCCCGGCUUUUAGUGAUAUGGAUCCCUUUGACAGCUACGUAAGCCUAUGGGCUUCUGAGGAUGCUUUUGAAAAUAAAAAAGUAAAUUUUUGUGAUACCAAUUUUGUUGAAAUUUGUUAAAUAUUUUUAGUUGUGAUACACAUUUUAAUUGAAGUGUAGUAGUGCCACAGGCUUAUAAGUGUCCAUGAAGGCUAAGUGAAGAAUCUUGGUGAGAUACCUGCCUAUCUUCCAUGGAAUGAAGAUGCUCAGA